UAUGAAAGUUAGGCUUUCUACUUCGGGUAGACAGGGAGACAGGUGGUGCAUGGUUGUCGUCAGCUCGUGUCGUGAGAUGUUGGUUAAGUCCCGCAACGAGCGCAACCCUCGCCUCUAGUUGCCAGCAUUCGGUUGGGCACUCUAGAGGGGCUGCCGGCGACAAGUCGGAGGAAGGUGGGGGUGACGUCAAAUCAUCAUGCCCCUUAUGACCUGGGCUACACACGUGCUACAAUGGGCGGUACAAAGGGCUGCGAACCCGCGAGGGGGAGCGAAUCCCAAAAAGCCGCUCUCAGUUCGGAUUGCAGGCUGCAACUCGCCUGCAUGAGGCCGGAAUCGCUAGUAAUCGCGGAUCAGCAUGCCGCGGUGAAUACGUUCCCGGACCUU
rnacentral:rRNA from 1 species